rnacentral:lncRNA from 1 species
UUUUCUAAUGAUGAUAAACCAAAACUACGUGAUACUUGAUUCUCCAUCAAAAGUGGAGAUACGUAGGAGCAAGACAAGGCCUUGCCGGGUUUAUUUCCCAAAAAUACAAAAUUUCCUAUGAUCAUUCCCAAACAAAUUUUCAAAAAAUUCUUCAAAAAAAUUCCCAAACAUAUUUUCAAAAGAACUAUGUACCCCUGAUUUCUCACACAAGAAUACGUAGGAGCGAGGUCAAUCCUCAUCGGGCUUCCCAAAAAAAUAAAAGUUUUUGUUUCUUUUGUAUCGUCUUGCAUUCUUAUUUUCGGAGAAAAUAACCAUUUUGAAAACCACAUCAACUUUGCACAUUUGACUAAAAGUACUGCCUUUGGACAAGCGUUGUAGGGUUGUUGAACUCACUUUUAGUCGCAUCAAAGCCAACAAACUCAGUUUCCCCCUAAUGUAGUAGAGGGAUAAACAAAGAUCAAUCCAAGGACUCAACUAUGAUUAAGUCUAAAGUGUAUAGUUAAAUCUCUCUUUUAUUUUCUAAUUACUACUAACUAACAGGUAAGGUGGGGAAAAGAAACGAAAGAAUGAAAAAAGAAAUUAAAAAAAAAAAACUCUGUUUAAGGAAAGAAAAUAUAAAGUGUAAGAAAGAAAUUAAAAAUUGAAACCUAAGCUAAAAUAUAAAUCUAUGUAAAACAGGACAAAAUCUAAACUAAAAUGAGAAGUGAAUGCAACUAAAACUAACCUAUGAAUGCUAAAAAUUAACAAAACAAUGAAACUAAAAUUAAAACUGAAUAUAGAAACUACUGAUGCAUGAAAACAAUGAAAAUAAUUGAGUGAGAAAACAAUAAGGAACUAACAUUUAACACUCACAAACAUUAAAUCUUGAUCAAUUACUUUGAUUCAUUCAGUGUUUUGAAUUGCACCCAGACUCAAGGAGACACCUUGGAAAGAAAAGGUCACUAUGGAGUCAAUACAGUUAUGGGACUCAAUUCAUGCCACGUUUCAACUCUAAAUAGGCCACGUUUAUAGAAAUUAACAGGUCAUCCUCCUAGCUAUGCAAAAAAGUUAAUCUCCUUAACUAAAUUUAACGGCAGGGGC